rnacentral:rRNA from 15 species
ACACCUGCUGAAUUUAAGCAUAUAAGUAAGUGGUGGAAAUUAAACCAAAUGGGAUAUCUUUAGUAAUUGCGAAUGAACAAGGAUAUGCUUAGCUUGACAAAUGGAGCUAUUGGCUUUGAAUUGUAUUGUGGAAAUGUAUUACCAACAGAGGUGCAGGUGCCAGCCUAUUGAAAUAAAGCGUCAAUGAGGGUGAGAAUCCUGUUUGUCAUGUGCAGCCCUUUGUGCACGGUGUAUAUUUGCUGAGUCACACUCCUUGGCAUUGGAAUGCAAAGUGGGUGGUAAGUUUCAUGUAAAGGUAAACAUGCAAUUGAGACUGAUAGC